rnacentral:rRNA from 1 species
UACGUAGGGGGCAAGCGUUGUCCGGAAUCAUUGGGCGUAAAGAGCGCGUAGGCGGCCCAGUAAGUCCGCUCUGAAAGUCAGGGGCUCAACCCCUGGAUGCGGGUGGAUACUGCCGAGCUAGAGUGCGGAAGGGGCAACUGGAAUUCCCAGUGUAGCGGUGAAAUGCGUAGAUAUUGGGAAGAACACCUGAGGCGAAGGCGGGUUGCUGGGCCGACACUGACGCUGAGGCGCGAAAGCCAGGGGAGCGAACGGG